rnacentral:rRNA from 1 species
AUACGGAGGAUCCGAGCGUUAUCCGGAUUUAUUGGGUUUAAAGGGAGCGUAGGUGGACAGUUAAGUCAGUUGUGAAAGUUUGCGGCUCAACCGUAAAAUUGCAGUUGAUACUGGCUGUCUUGAGUACAAUAGAGGUGGGCGGAAUUCGUGGUGUAGUGGUGAAAUGCUUAGAUAUCACGAAGAACUCCGAUUGCGAAGGCAGCUCACUGGACUGCAACUGACACUGAUGCUCGAAAGUGUGGGUAUCAAACAGGAUUAAAUACCCUGGUAGUCCACACAGUAAACGAUGAAUACUCGCUGUUUGCGAUAUACAGUAAGCGGCCAAGCGAAAGCAUUAAGUAUUCCACCUGGGGAGUACGCCGGCAACGGUGAAACUCAAAGGAAUUGACGGGG